AUAGGCUACGGUGAUAUGACUCCGCACACCUAUCUCGGCAGGAUUAUCGGAUCGGUUUGUGCGCUUGCCGGAGUGCUCACCAUUGCUUUACCCGUUCCGGUAUGUUCAGUGCAAAU
rfam:Ascaris suum AG00194, whole genome shotgun sequence.